rnacentral:misc_RNA from 1 species
GAUGAAGAACGCAGCGAAAUGCGAUAAGUAAUGUGAAUUGCAGAAUUCAGUGAAUCAUCGAAUCUUUGAACGCACCUUGCGCCCUUUGGCUAUUCCGAAGGGCAUGCCUGUUUGAGUAUCAUGAACACCUCAACUCUCAUGGCUUGCCAUGAUGAGCUUGGACUAUGGGGGUCUUGCUGGCCUGUGGUCGGCUCCUCUCAAAUGAAUCAGCUUGCCAGUGUUUGGUGGCAUCACAGGUGUGAUAACUAUCUACGCUUGUGGUUUUCCACCAGGUAACCUUCAGCAAUGGAGGUUCGCUGGGGCUCAUAAAUGUCUCUCCUCAGCGAGGACAGCUCUUUGAACGUUUUAUCUCAAAUCAGGUAGGACUACCCGCUGAACUUAAGCAUAUCAAUAAGCGGAGGA